AUCCAGCCCCAAUCCUGAAUCCUGCCCCAAAUCCCAAAUCCUGCCCCAAAUCCUGUCUGAUCCCAAAUCCAGAGCCAAUCCCAAAGGCAGAUCCAAAUCCUGCCCCAAGUCCCAGUCCCGAUCCCAAACUCAGCCCCAGUCCCAAAACCGGCCCCAAUCCCAAAUCCAGGCCCAAAUCCAGCCCCAAAUUCAAUAUCCAAUCCCAAAUCCAGCCCUGAUCCCAAAUCCAGCCCUGCCCAGAUCCCAAAUCCUGCCCCAAAUCCCAAAUACAGAUCCAAAUCUGGCCCCAAAUCCAGCCCAAAUCCCAAAUACAGAUCCAAAUCCCAAAUCCAGCCCCAAUCCCAAAUCCAGCCCCAAAUCUAGCCCUGAUCCCAAAUCCAGCCCCAAAUCCCAAAUCCAGCCCAAAUCCCAAAUCCAGACCCAAUCCCAAAGGCAGAUCCAAAUCCCAGCCCCAAUCCCAAAUACAGCCCCAAUCCCAAAUCCUGCCCCAAAUCCCAAAUACAGAUCCCAAUCCCAAAUCCUGCCGCAAAUCCGGCCCCAAAUCCUAAAUACACCCUCAAUCCCAAAUCCAGUCCUGAAUUCUGCCCCAGUCCCGAAUCCUGCCCCAAAUCCCAAAGCCAGCCCAAAUCCAGCCCCGAUCCCAAAUGGGGAGCUGGGCAUGGAUACGGCCACAAAUCCUGUUCUAAAUGACAAAUACAGACCCAAUCCCAAAUCCUGCCCCAAAUCCCAAAUCCAAUAUCCACUCCCAAAUCCAGCCGGAAUCCCAAAUCCAGCCCCAAAUCCAAUGUCCAAUCCCAAAUCCAGCCCUGAAUCCAGCCCCGAUCCUGAAUCCUGCCCCAAAUCCCAAAUCCUGCCCCGAAUCCAGACCCAAUCCCAAAGGCAGAUCCAAAUCCCAAAUCCUUCCCCAAGUCCCAGCCCCGAUCCCAAAUCCAGCCCCAAAUCCCAAAUCCUGCCACAAAUCCCAAAUCCUGCCACAAAUCCCAAAUACAGAUCCAAAUCCGGCCCCAAAUCCAGCCCCAAUCCCAAUUCCAGCCCCAAAUCCCACAUCCAGCCUAAAUCCCAAAUCCAGCCCCAAAUCCCAAAGCCAGCCCAAAUCCCAAAUCCAGCCUCAAAUCCAAAAUGCAGCCCCAAUCCCAAAUCCAGC
rnacentral:lncRNA from 1 species